UGACUCUUUUCUCAUAGUCCCUGUUCUGGUC
rnacentral:piRNA from 1 species